UACGUAGGUGGCGAGCGUUAUCCGGAUUUACUGGGCGUAAAGGGUGUGCAGGCGGGCUGUUAAGUGGUGUAUGAAAUAUCCCGGCUCAACCGGGAGAGGUUAUGCCAGACUGGCAGUCUAGAGAGCGAGAGAGGGACGUGGAAUUCCGGGUGUAGUGGUGAAAUGCGUAGAGAUCCGGAGGAACCCCAGAGGCGAAGGCGGCGUCCUGGCUCGCAUCUGACGCUCAGACACGACAGCAUGGGGAGCGAACGGG
rnacentral:rRNA from 1 species